rnacentral:rRNA from 1 species
UACAGAGGUCCCAAGCGUUGUUCGGAUUCACUGGGCGUAAAGGGUGCGUAGGUGGUCGGGUAAGUCUGAUGUGAAAUCUCGGAGCUCAACUCCGAAACUGCAUUGGAUACUAUUCGGCUUGAGAGUUGGAGGGGGGACUGGAAUUCUCGGUGUAGCAGUGAAAUGCGUAGAGAUCCGGAGGAACACCAAAGGCGCAGGCAGUGUCCUGGGAAGUACCUGACGCUCAGGGACGAAAGCUAGGGGAGCGAACGGG